UUCCGGCUCGUAAAUGGUUCUGUUGACGAAAAUCGCGGCCCGCUAGCAACUACCGUUUUCGCUACAGGUGCCACUCUAUACUUGUAGAGAAAUUUUCAGCGUUACAGUUCUUCCCGCAACUGUCAUUACGACCAGGUCUAAGUUGUCAGAAGCUUUAUCAUGGAUGAAGAAUGGUACACAAUACGUGAGCUCAAAAAGCUGUUCUGGAAUUGCAUUGGAGAGCUUUUCUUAGGGUUUUCGACGAGCGGCAUUGUUGUUUGGAAACUCACACAUAAAGACUAUCAGCUGGAUGUUGGCUAUUUGGUACCAAAGAUGGGCCUUUUAACGGCAAUGGUUGCAUGUGUGGCCAUAAUUGUGUUCUGCACCGGCAUCAUCGCACAUUACAUCAUCUGGCGGUCCAGUGCUGGAUCCCUGCAGAAUGCCAGAAUCCUCUGGACAGGUACUUCCACCCGGAGAAACUUGUGUUGAGCGAAUCUGCGUGGAUGUACGCUUUCAUGAUAAUCCUCUUCGGCGUUCUGAUUAUUGACAUAACUUACCACGCAGUAAAGAUACACGGUCAUUACACUGCUCGCACAGGCGAAGUUCUGAGUAUUGCCGAGGAUGCAGAGCAGGAUUGCAGCGCGGAGAUGGUAAUAGAUGCGGAGACCGUGAAUGAUAACCAUAAUCAAGUUAUGUUACACAGUCCGCCAUGUCGUC